CAGAUGAGAAGCUUGCUUCUCUGAUGUUAGCGGCGGACGGGUGAGUAACACGGUGGGUAACCUACCUAUAAGACUGGGAUAACUCCGGGAAACCGGGGCUAAUACCGGAUAAUAUUUUGAACCGCAUGGUUCAAUAGUGAAAGACGGUUUCGGCUGUCACUUAUAGAUGGACCCGCGCCGUAUUAGCUAGUUGGUAAGGUAACGGCUUACCAAGGCGACGAUACGUAGCCGACCUGAGAGGGUGAUCGGCCACACUGGAACUGAGACACGGUCCAGACUCCUACGGGAGGCAGCAGUAGGGAAUCUUCCGCAAUGGGCGAAAGCCUGACGGAGCAACGCCGCGUGAGUGAUGAAGGUCUUCGGAUCGUAAAACUCUGUUGUUAGGGAAGAACAAAUUUGUUAGUAACUGAACAAGUCUUGACGGUACCUAACCAGAAAGCCACGGCUAACUACGUGCCAGCAGCCGCGGUAAUACGUAGGUGGCAAGCGUUAUCCGGAAUUAUUGGGCGUAAAGCGCGCGUAGGCGGUUUCUUAAGUCUGAUGUGAAAGCCCACGGCUCAACCGUGGAGGGUCAUUGGAAACUGGGAAACUUGAGUGCAGAAGAGGAGAGUGGAAUUCCAUGUGUAGCGGUGAAAUGCGCAGAGAUAUGGAGGAACACCAGUGGCGAAGGCGGCUCUCUGGUCUGUAACUGACGCUGAUGU
rnacentral:rRNA from 1 species